CUACGGGCGGCAGCAGUGGGGAAUAUUGCACAAUGGAGGAAACUCUGAUGCAGCAACGCCGCGUGGAGGAUGACACUUUUCGGAGCGUAAACUCCUUUUAUAUAGGAAGAAGAUGACGGUACUAUAUGAAUAAGCGCCGGCUAACUCCGUGCCAGCAGCCGCGGUAAUACGGAGGGCGCAAGCGUUACUCGGAAUCACUGGGCGUAAAGGGCGUGUAGGCGGAUCAAAAAGUCAGAAGUGAAAUCCUAUAGCUUAACUAUAGAACUGCUUCUGAAACUCUUAAUCUAGAAUAUGGGAGAGGUAGAUGGAAUUUCUGGUGUAGGGGUAAAAUCCGUAGAGAUCAGAAGGAAUACCGAUUGCGAAGGCGAUCUACUAGAACAUUAUUGACGCUGAGACGCGAAAGCGUGGGGAGCAAACAGGAUUAGAUACCCCAGUAGUC
rnacentral:rRNA from 1 species